CGUCACCCGCUCACGCGCCGCUGAGAAAUAAGGGGUAGCUACAGUAGCUGAGUGUUAUUACCCCCGGUUUUUUUAUUUGCAAUUCAUGUAUUUUCCUAUAUGUUCCAUUUUUAUGUAAAUGCUAUAAAUUCACUUCUAUAUAUAAACUUUUGUUCUGGCGGAUGCGCGUGUUAUUUUAUUAUUUUAUUUUUGUCGGUUUCGCGUGAUUAAGGCAUGUUAUUGCUCACGGAAAGCAGCGCGAAUAAACGGUAAAGGAAGUCUGUGCCUGGUUCAUAGUGUGAACAAGAUGGAGUUCAGACAAGGUGGAAGUGGCAGACAAGAUCCUAUGACUGUGGUAAGACAGGGCUCUCAAGUCUCACGCACUGACCGUGAGACACACGCUCUGACCCGAAAAGAUGUAAUCUCACUCCAAACCUCUGAUUAAACUUGGAGUCCUGGGAAGGCCCCCCUUUGAAGAAAACUGAUGAUUCCACUUCCUCCGCAAUCCUGCUGUUGCUGGGGGUUUAUGGAAAGUUCCCCAGACUGGAGGCUCGGUGUUUGGUACGUGGACCUGAACUGUCACCAGCUGGGUUGAGCAACAGUGGUUUCAGUGGCUGAGGAGACGGAUGCGAAAAGCAAAUGUGCGGACAGCUGUCGCGGAGAUGUAGUGCGGACAAAGACGGCGUGGAAGCCGGACAACGCAAACAAUACAGAGAUCGACGCAAAACGCGACCCUGCAGAACAACCUGAUAAACAAACAUCACCAUCACUAACACGUAAAGACUCUAUUAUCAGUCUGAAAUACCAUCACCAGAAUUACUGUUGACUGAACUCAGUAAUGAAGUCAGAUCUGUGUCUGAUUUGUGUUGGGUCACUCUAAAGGUCCAGAUUACUGUACCUAUUACUUAUCCUUCUUCUUAUUACCAUUUAGGUUUUGUAUUUUAUUUGCAUAUAUAGGACAGCCGUAGUCAUUAAAGGACCGAUAGUUUUCACAUAGCUAAAUCGUAAUUUGUUGGAAAAUCGUAAUAUGUUGGAAAAAAAAAAACAUUUUAAAAAAUGUAUAAUAAUAGACUGUUUUCCAUAUUUUUCAGUCUUUAUGCAUUUGAAACGUAUACAGAGGAGUGCAUUUGUGGGGAAGGUGUCAGUUGGUGGCUUUCUGUAGAUGGUUUAUACUGCUGAAAAACAAGUUAUUCGGGCAGCUU